UAUCUUCGGUCCACUGAAGUUCAAGUGG
rnacentral:sRNA from 1 species